GCCCUCUUAGCUCAGGGGUAGAGCGCGUCACUAGUACCUCUUGCAUACACUGCAAUCAUAUGACGAGGCCAUUGGUUCGAUUCCAGUAUGUCU